rnacentral:rRNA from 1 species
AUUGAACGCUGGCGGCAGGCCUAACACAUGCAAGUCGAGCGGAUGAAGGGAGCUUGCUCCUGGAUUCAGCGGCGGACGGGUGAGUAAUGCCUAGGAAUCUGCCUGGUAGUGGGGGAUAACGUCCGGAAACGGGCGCUAAUACCGCAUACGUCCUGAGGGAGAAAGUGGGGGAUCUUCGGACCUCACGCUAUCAGAUGAGCCUAGGUCGGAUUAGCUAGUUGGUGGGGUAAAGGCCUACCAAGGCGACGAUCCGUAACUGGUCUGAGAGGAUGAUCAGUCACACUGGAACUGAGACACGGUCCAGACUCCUACGGGAGGCAGCAGUGGGGAAUAUUGGACAAUGGGCGAAAGCCUGAUCCAGCCAUGCCGCGUGUGUGAAGAAGGGCUUCGGAUUGUAAAGCACUUUAAGUUGGGAGGAAGGGCAGUAAGUUAAUACCUUGCUGUUUUGACGUUACCAACAGAAUAAGCACCGGCUAACUACGUG